GUAAGCCUUCAACCGAAAACAUAAUAGAUAAAAGACCAAUCCCUUCUUCGGCAGCGAUAAAAGACGAUCUCCAGCGACAUCUCAUCGGCAAACCAAUCCCUUCUUCAGCAAACCAUCUCCAGCGACAUCUCAUACCCGUUACUGCAACAGCAUCUCCAACAAGGGUGAAGACUCCUUAAGUAUUUCCAGAGGUUUGUCGUCUUGGCAAAUACAAGAAACCAGAAUUAAGUACUUCAAUAAAGAAGAUGCGGCCAGAAGUAAAACCGGACUUACACAAGACAUAGUCCAUAUACAUCAUGGGGAACUGGGGACAAAAUCACCAAAACAGAAAAAGGAAAAAGAUAUUUAUAGGCCGGCCAUCUACAGACUAGAGGGGUCAAAACAAUCCUACUGAAAUCAAUUCUUGAGCCGCUGCCAUGGGAAAGAACGAGUUCCUGACGCCAAAGGCAAUAGCGAAUAGAAUCAAAGCGAAAGGCUUACAAAAACUCCGAUGGUAUUGUCAGAUGUGCCAAAAGCAAUGUCGGGAUGAGAAUGGCUUCAAGUGCCACUGCAUGAGCGAAUCACACCAGCGACAGAUGCAGGUUUUCGGCCAAAACCCUAAUCGAAUCAUCGAUGGCUAUUCCGAAGAGUUCGAACAAGCGUUUCUCGAACAUAUGAAGCGUAGUCACCGCUUUAGUCGCAUCGCCGCUACCGUGGUAUAUAACGAGUACAUCGCCGAUCGCCACCAUAUUCAUAUGAAUUCAACUCAGUGGGCGACUUUGACGGAGUUUGUUAAGUAUUUGGGGAGGACUGGCAAGUGUAAAGUUGAGGAAACUCCGAAAGGGUGGUUUAUUACUUAUAUUGAUCGUGAUUCGGAGACCUUGUUUAAGGAGAAGAUGAAGAAUAAGAGGAUUAGGGCGGAUUUAGCAGAGGAGGAGAAGCAGGAGAGGGAGAUUAAGAAGCAGAUUGAGCGUGCCGAGCAGCUGAUGUCAACUGGGAAUGAGAACAGGAAUGGGAAUGAACAGGAAGUUCAGGAGAAAAGGUUGUUUGAGAAAUCGGAGGACGAGAAAAUUAAGUUAAGUUUGGGAUCAUUGUCAAAAAGUAAUUUGAAGGAGGAGAGUUCUAGGGUUGUUUUUGAUGAUGUGGAGAAUGAGAGUAUAGGCGACAAGGGGAAUAAGGGCAGUGGAAAGAUGGGAAGCUCAGUGUUGGAUGAGUUGAUGAGGGAAGAAGAGAAGGCGAAGGAGAGGAGUAAUAGGAAGGAUUAUUGGUUGUGUGAGGGGAUUAUUGUGAAGAUAAUGAGCAGGGCACUGGAAGAAAAGGGGUACUAUAGGCAGAAAGGCAUAGUGCGGAAAGUGAUUGAUAAGUAUGUUGGGGAAAUUGAGAUGCUAGAGAGUAAGCAUGUCUUGAGAAUUGAUCAAGAAGAGCUUGAGACUGUGAUUCCACAAAUUGGAGGACUUGUGAGAAUAGUUAAUGGGGCUUAUCGUGGGUCAUAUGCUAGGCUGCUAGCUGUUGAUACAGAUAAGUUCUGUGCUAAGGUGCAGAUUGAGAAGGGGAUUUAUGAUGGCAGGGUGAUUAAGGCCAUUGAGUAUGAAGAUAUCUGCAAAUUGGCUCAAUGAAAAAUGUUGAUAAGAAUGUACUAACUGUAUUGUGAUCAAGUGGUAAUUGUUCUACUUUCCAGAGUUGUUAAGUACCAUGAUAGUCUGCAUCUUUUAUGAAUGAUUGCAAUCUUCUUUCUUUUCCAGAAGAUCAAGGAAACUGCUAGUAUUGAUAUUGUUGACAUUCUUGACACAUAUUCUCAUGGUACCAGAGUUGCUUGGGAAAUUUGGGAGGAUUUGUUGUGACUUUAUUUAACAGAAGAUGCAUGAGACAGAGUGAAGUUGAAUGUUCUAGCAGCAAGUGCCUUCUUUCAAAAAAACCAGCAAAUGGGGACAAGGUGUAUUGAAAAG